rnacentral:pre_miRNA from 1 species
GAUUGGAGAGGAGAGAGUUCAGACAGGGAUGAGGCAGAGCAUGGGAUGGGGCUAUCAACAGAUCGAUAGAUUCCAGAUUCCUUUUCUUGAUCUGUACUAGUUGUGUGUAUCCUCCUCUUGUGGAUUGCUGUUGUUUGGGGAGAAGAGAGAGUGUUGCGAGUGAGCUGCUGGUGUUGUUGUUGCUCCCUCCCCUGCACUGCCUCUUCCCUGGCUGCUCCCCUGCAUCUCCUC